rnacentral:rRNA from 1 species
GACGAACGCUGGCGGCGUGCUUAACACAUGCAAGUGGAGCGACGAACCAGGCUUCGGCCCGGGGCAGAGCCGCGAACGGGUGAGUAACACGUGGGUAACGUGCCCCGAUGACCGGGACAACCCGGGGAAACCCGGGCUAAUACCGGAUGUGCUCCCGCCACACCAAGUGGCGGGUGGAAAGGAAGCUUCGGCCUCCGCAUCGGGAUCGGCCCGCGGCCCAUUAGCGUGUUGGUGAGGUAACGGCUCACCGAGGCCGCGAUGGGUAGCUGGUCUGAGAGGACGAUCAGCCACACUGGGACUGAGACACGGCCCAGACUCCUACGGGAGGCAGCAGUGGGGAAUCUUGCGCAAUGCGCGAAAGCGUGACGCAGCAACGCCGCGCGGGGGAAGAAGGCCUUCGGGUUGUAAACCCCUUUCAGGAGGGACGAAGGUUGGGCGGUGAAUAGCCGACCUGACUGACGGUACCUCCAGAAGAAGCCCCGGCUAACUACGUGCCAGCCGCCGCCGUAAAAC